rnacentral:rRNA from 1 species
UACGUAGGGUGCAAGCGUUAAUCGGAAUUACUGGGCGUAAAGCGUGCGCAGGCGGUUUUGUAAGUCUGUCGUGAAAUCCCCGGGCUCAACCUGGGAAUUGCGAUGGAGACUGCAAGGCUAGAAUCUGGCAGAGGGGGUAGAAUUCCACGUGUGAGCAGUGAAAUGCGUAGAGAUGUGGAGGAACACCGAUGGCGAAGGCAGCCCCUGGGUCAAGAUUGACGCUCAUGCACGAAAGCGUGGGGAGCAAACGAG